rnacentral:rRNA from 1 species
UACGUAGGGCGCAAGCGUUGUCCGGAAUUAUUGGGCGUAAAGAGCUCGUAGGCGGCUUGUCACGUCGAUUGUGAAAGCCCGAGGCUUAACCUCGGGUCUGCAGUCGAUACGGGCUAGCUAGAGUGUGGUAGGGGAGAUCGGAAUUCCUGGUGUAGCGGUGAAAUGCGCAGAUAUCAGGAGGAACACCGGUGGCGAAGGCGGAUCUCUGGGCCAUUACUGACGUGAGGAGCGAAAGCGUGGGGAGCGAACAGG